AGGUGCAGAUUGAUGAGUAUGAUCACUCCAAGCCCAUCCAGGGGCAACAGAAGAAGCCCUUUGAGGUGCACUGGAGGAAGCACACCCUGUCCUAUGUGGACGUCGGCACUGGGAAGGUCACUGUGGAAUAUAGACCCAUAAUUGACAAAACUUUGAACGAGGCUGACUGUGCCACUGUCCCCCCAGCCAUUCACUCCUACUGAUGAGACAAGAUGUGGUGAUGACAGAAUCAGCUUUUUGCACAGCCAGAGGACAACACAUCACACACAAGAAACAGUUGUGCUCAUGUGAUGGGGGCCUCAGCACUAGGAAGGAGUGGACUGUUGGCGCACGCAGCAGCUUGAAUAAAUCUGAAAGUCACUACGCUGCGUAAGAGAAGCCAAAUAAAGCGCAUGCUGUGUACAGAGGGUGUCGAGAAUGCCUCCUACGUGACGGAAAGCAGAUCCGUGGUUCCCUGCAGACUGGCAGGAGCAGAUUCCAAAGGCACAGGAAGAAGCUUGCAGGCAGCUGCUCCCAACCCCAGAACCUUUGCUGUCUUGGGACGGAUCACCACUGCAAGAGGGGAAGUUGCUACUGUGAUGAAUUCUGCCAUGUGGCACCAGACUGCCACCCAGACCACAGUGUCCUCUGCAACCCUGGUAACUCACAUACAGGCCCGAUUCCACCGACAGCAAAGCUGGAUGCUAUGGCUGGCAGAGGCAAACCCUUUGCCUGCACUUCAGGCCAAAGCCGGGAUGUGGCCUAGAUGGUUCCUAAGGUCCCUGACAAUCCUGAGAUCUUGCAUCUUGUCUAUUUCAGGUCAAAGGUGCCUACAUGCUCCUUCUAGCUUUGUUUCCCUGAUGUUCCUUGCCACCUGCUACUCCUCUCUGAGCUA
rnacentral:misc_RNA from 1 species